rnacentral:rRNA from 1 species
AACGAGCGCUGGCGGCAGGCUUAACACAUGCAAGUCGAACGGGUGUAGCAAUACAUCAGCGGCAGACGGGUGAGUAACACGUGGGAACCUUCCUAGGGGUACGGAACAACUCAGGGAGACUUGAGCUAAUACCGUAUACGUCCGUGAGGAGAAAGAUUUAUCGCCCUUAGACGGGCCCGCAUCGGAUUAGCUAGUUGGUGGGGUAACGGCCUACCAAGGCGACGAUCCGUAGCUGAUCUUAGAGGAUGAUCAGCCACACUGGGACUGAGACACGGCCCAGACUCCUACGGGAGGCAGCAGUGGGGAAUCUUGGACAAUGGGCGCAAGCCUGAUCCAGCCAUGCCGCGUGAGUGAAGAAGGUCUUCGGAUUGUAAAGCUCUUUUGCCAGGGACGAUAAUGACGGUACCUGGAGAAUAAGCCCCGGCAAACUUCGUGCCAGCCGCCGCGGUAA